rnacentral:rRNA from 1 species
UACGAAGGGGGCUAGCGUUGUUCGGAAUUACUGGGCGUAAAGCGCACGUAGGCGGACAUUUAAGUCUGGGGUGAAAUCCCAGAGCUCAACUCUGGAACUGCCUUUGAUACUGGGUGUCUUGAGUAUGGAAGAGGUGAGUGGAAUUCCGAGUGUAGAGGUGAAAUUCGUAGAUAUUCGGAGGAACACCAGUGGCGAAGGCGGCUCACUGGUCCAUUACUGACGCUGAGGUGCGAAAGCGUGGGGAGCAAACAGG